AGUGAACGCUGGCGGCAGGCCUUACACAUGCAAGUCGAACGGCAGCACAGUAGCUGGUUGCUCUUACCGGUGGCGAGACGGGGACGGGUUAGAUAGACACCGGUACCUACUUUUUCGUGGGGGCUGACGAAGCGAAAUUUACGCCACUAACGCAUUCGACAUUCAAGUGAAAGACGUGGAGCUCCGGACCUUGCGCGAUCGACUGUGCCGAUGUCGGAUUAGCUAGUUGGCGGGGUAAAGGCCUACCAAGGCGACGAUCCGUAGCUGGUCUGAGAGGACGAUCAGCCACACUGGGACUGAGACACGGCCCAGACUCCUACGGGAGGCAGCAGUGGGGAAUAUUGGACAAUGGGCGCAAGCCUGAUCCAGCAAUGCCGCGUGUGUGAAGAAGGCCUUCGGGUUGUAAAGCCCUUUUGUCGGGAAAGAAAAGCUGCGGCCUAAUACCGUCGUGUGCUGACGGUACCCGAAGAAUAAGCACCGGCUAACUUCGUG
rnacentral:rRNA from 1 species